rnacentral:RNase_P_RNA from 1 species
CGGGUCGGCCUGGCGAUCGCGCGGCGUGGUGAACGUCUCGAGGAAAGUCCGGGCUCCGCAGAGCAGGAUGGUGGAUAACGUCCACUCGGGGUGACCCGCAGGCCAGUGCCACAGAAAACAGACCGCCCGCCGUCUCGGCGGGUCAGGGUGAAACGGUGGUGUAAGAGACCACCAGUUCCCGCGGCGACGCGGGAAGCUCGGUAAACCCCAUCCGGAGCAAGGCCAGACAGGAUGCGCCACGAGGGCUGCUCGCCCCAGCAUCCGGGUAGGCCGCUCGACCCCCGGAGCAAUCCGGGGGCUAGAUGGAUGAUCGCCCAGGCGCUCGGAGCGAUCCGGCGCCGGACAAAACCCGGCUUACAGGCCGUCCCGUCCC